CUGUAACUAGCCUGGGGAGAGACAUGUUGUCUGUAACCUGUAACUAGCCUAGGGAGAGACAUGUUGUCUGUAAACUGUAACUAGCCUGGGGAGAGACAUGUUGUCUGUAACCUGUAUCUAGCCUAGGGAGAGACAUGUUGUCUGUAACCUGUAACUAGCCUGGGGAGAGACAUGUUGUCUGUAACCUGUAACUAGCCUGGGGAGAGACAUGUUGUCUGUAACCUGUAACUAGCCUAGGGAGAGACAUGUUGUCUGUAACCUGUAUCUAGCCUAGGGAGAGACAUGUUGUCUGUAACCUGUAACUAGCCUGGGGAGGGACAUGUUGUCUGUAACCUGUAACUAGCCUAGGGAGAGACAUGUUGUCUGUAACCUGUAACUAGCCUAGGGAGAGACAUGUUGUCUGUAACCUGUAACUAGCCUAGGGAGAGACAUGUUGUCUGUAACCUGUAACUAGCCUAGGGAGAGACAUGUUGUCUGUAACCUGUAACUAGCCUGGGGAGAGACAUGUUGUCUGUAACCUGUAACUAGCCUAGGGAGAGACAUGUUGUCUGUAACCUGUAACUAGCCUGGGGAGAGACAUGUUGUCUGUAACCUGUAACUAGCCUGGGGAGAGACAUGUUGUCUGUAACCUGUAACUAGCCUGGGGAGAGACAUGUUGUCUGUAACCUGUAACUAGCCUAGGGAGAGACCUGGCUGGCUUGCUUUAUUUAAAUGAAUGUAAUACACAUUGUUAUAUCCUUCUGGUUAAAUCCCAAAUGGCACCCUAUUCCCUACAUAGUGCACUACUUUUGACCAGGUCCCAUAGUGCUCUGUUCAAAAGUAGUGCACUUUAUAGGGAAUAGGGUGCCAUUUGGGCCAAAUAUAGGAUAAUUUGACUGUAGCCUUCUGCGUUGAGCAGAGACAACUUUUUCCUUGUUGGCACUUUAUCUGUUGGUUAGUAGGUGUUAUUAUAUUAUUGAACCUCUGGAGCCAUACGCUAUUGGGUUAGUCAGGCUGAUCAGCAAGUCUCAAUAAGGUGUUGGGAUCAACAAGUCUCAAUAAGGUGUUGGGAUCAACAAGUCUCAAUAAGGUGUUGGGUUAGUCAGACUGAUCAGCAAGUCUCAAUAAGGUGUUGGGUUAGUCAGGCUGAUCAACAAGUCUCAAUAAGGUGUUGGGUUAGUCAGACUGAUCAGAAAGUCUCAAUAAGGUGUUGGGAUCAACAAGUCUCAAUAAGGUGUUGGGUUAGUCAGGCUGAUCAACAAGUCUCAAUAAGGUGUUGGGUUAGUCAGGCUGAUCAGCAAGUCUCAAUAAGGUGUUGGGUUAGUCAGACUGAUCAGCAAGUCUCAAUAAGGUGUUGGGUUAGUCAGGCUGAUCAACAAGUCUCAAUAAGGUGUUGGGUUAGUCAGGCUGAUCAGAAAGUCUCAAGCCUCAAACACCUUAGUAAUAUAUUCUGUCCAUGGACUCAUGUUACUCAUUUUCACUGGGGGGUGCGUCCCAAAUGUCAACUCAUUCUACAUUUGACCAGGGCCCAUAUGGGGGAAUAGGAAGUCAUUAAUGACCAGGGCCCAUAUGGGGGAAUAGGAAGUCAUUAAUGACCAGGGCCCAUAUGGGGGAAUAGGAAGUCAUUAAUGACCAGGGCCCAUAUGGGGGAAUAGUGUGUUCUCAGAAGGUGAAGCCAGUAGUGGCCUACUGGGCCGAGGCUUUGAUGUUGCUUUCCUGUGGCGUUACUUCUUUAUUUUAUCCUUGGUGGGGUUUAUUUUAUGUAAAUCAAGGAGACGUGCUUUUGAUUUGUCUGUUGAGUGUAAGGGGUUGUCCCAAAUGUCACCCUAUUCCCUAUGUAGUGCAUUACUAUGGGCCCUAUUCCCUAUGUAGUGCGCUACUAUGGGCCCUAUUCCCUAUGUAGUGCGCUACUAUGGGCCCUAUUCCCUAUGUAGUGCGCUACUAUGGGCCCUAUUCCCUAUGUAGUGCGCUACUAUGGGCCCUAUUCCCAAUGUAGUGCGCUACUAUGGGCCCUAUUCCCUAUGUAGUGCGCUACUAUGGGCCCUAUUCCCUAUGUAGUGCGCCACUAUGGGCCCUAUUCCCUAUGUAGUGCGCCACUAUGGGCCCUAUUCCCUAUGUAGUGCGCUACUGUGGGCCCUAUUCCCUAUGUAGUGCUCUACUAUGGGCCCUAUUCCCUAUGUAGUGCUCUACUAUGGGCCCUAUUCCCUAUGUAGUGCUCUACUAUGGGCCCUAUUCCCUAUGUAGUGCACUAUAAAUGGAAUAAGGUGCCAUUAGGGAGACAAGCCAUCUCAGAACAUACGCUGUUAAACCAUUGAGUACAUAACUGUGCUGUUACAUAUUUAUAUAAUUUGUAAGUAUGCAUAUUGUAAUUAUUUUAUAUUUGUAUACAUGCACUAGUUUAUAAGUGUGCAUUAUUUUUUCGGGACAUGAAUCAAACUGACGUGUAAAAAAGUUGAAAAAAAUAAAGUACUUUUUUUGUUAACCUGUCUCUGUCUGUUUGUCUGGUCUGUUUGUCUGGUCUGUUUGUCUGGUCUGUUUGUCUGGUCUGUUUGUCUGGUCUGUUUGUCUGGUUUGGUCUGUCUGGUCUGUCUGUCUGGUCUGGUCUGUUUGUCUGGUUUGGUCUGUUUGUCUGGUUUGGUCUGUCUGGUCUGUCUGUCUGGUCUGUCUGUGUCUGGUUUGGUCUGUUUGUCUGGUCUGUCUGUCGAUCUUUGGCCAGGAUUCAAUCCAAGGCACGUUACAGGUCGACACUCUAAACAGCCGACAACGCUCCUCUAAAGGCAAUGUCCCCAGCGUUCACGGAGAUCACAUUCAUG
rnacentral:lncRNA from 1 species